UCUCCGUUGGUGAACCAGCGGAGGGAUCAUUACCAGAGUGCCUUUUGGCUCUCCAACCCACUGUGAACAUACCUACGUUUCCCUCGGCGGGCUCAGCGCGCGGCGGUACUCCCGCCACGCGUCCGCCGGGGGCCCCCAAACUCGAAUUUACUACGUGUAUCUCUGAGGGGCGAAAGCCCGUAAAACAAAAUGAAUCAAAACUUUCAACAACGGAUCUCUUGGCUCUG
rnacentral:misc_RNA from 1 species